rnacentral:tRNA from 1 species
GGAUGUAGCUCAGCUUGGUAGAGCGUCCGCUUUGGGAGCGGAAGGUCGCAGGUUCAAAUCCUGUCAUCC